rnacentral:rRNA from 1 species
UACGAAGGGGGCUAGCGUUGUUCGGAAUUACUGGGCGUAAAGCGCACGUAGGCGGAUAUUUAAGUCAGGGGUGAAAUCCCAGAGCUCAACUCUGGAACUGCCUUUGAUACUGGGUAUCUUGAGUAUGGAAGAGGUAAGUGGAAUUGCGAGUGUAGAGGUGAAAUUCGUAGAUAUUCGCAGGAACACCAGUGGCGAAGGCGGCUUACUGGUCCAUUACUGACGCUGAGGUGCGAAAGCGUGGGGAGCAAACAG